UACGUAGGUGGCAAGCGUUGUCCGGAUUUAUUGGGCUUAAAGGGUGCGUAGGCGGCUUUGUAAGUCAGUGGUGAAAUAUGGCAGCUCAACUGUCAGGGUGCCAUUGAUACUGCGGAGCUUGAGUACAGAUGAGGUAGGCGGAAUUGACGGUGUAGCGGUGAAAUGCUUAGAUAUCGUCAAGAACACCGAUAGCGAAGGCAGCUUACUAGGCUGUAACUGACGCUGAGGCACGAAAGUGUGGGGAUCAAACAGG
rnacentral:rRNA from 1 species